UGAAUGCAAAACUCAGUGGCCUUGAUGAAUU
rnacentral:piRNA from 1 species